rnacentral:lncRNA from 1 species
UCCUCGUGAAUAAAAGGAGGCCUCUUGCUCCUCCUUUCCUUGAUGUCAUGGACAAAAUCACUAUACCUCCGCGCAGCACAAGCAUGCCAAAGCUUGUAGACAGCCGACUCUAUCGCCGCAUCCCAUGUGAAAUGUUUCUAUUUAAACAACAAAAUAAAAUACAUUUAUAAACACUAAUUAAUAUGUAUAUGUUUAUUGUUAAACAACUUGUAUUAAAUUAUAUUCAUACCUUGAAUUCCUCAAAGUACGCCGUCUUAACACUAAGUGGAGUGAGUUUCCAACUGUAGCCUUCGGGAUUUUGAACUUGCUUGAAAAUCUUAGUGACUACGGAUGGAACCAUCCCCAAGGGAUGUAAUUUCCUACAAUUAAUAUUCAAAGUCAUUAGAACAGAAAUAUCAUUUAUUAAUUCAUAAGAUUGUAUAACUAUAAAAAUUAUACCCAUAUUUGAUGAUGAGUGUAGUACGUCCAGUCUGUGUAGCCUCUGAUGCCUCAGUAGGGACCGAUGCCGAAGAUGAAGGUGAAUGAG